AUGUGAGCUCUUCAAUUAAUGAGAUAAUUAAACUCAUUAAAAAAUCUGAGUAAAUGAGUAAAAAUCUGUUUGAAACUGAUUUGAUAUGAACAGUUCUGAGACUGAUAUGUUCUAUUGUAUGUUUUAUGUGCACGUGGAUUUAGAAUGUGAGGAUUUAUCAUGUGGACCGUAUGUAUUCAGUGUUAAUGUGCUUCUGUACUAUACAGGAAUGCAUUGUCACAUGGUGCCCACGAGUGAUUGUCUCCUUCGUCUUCAGUGUGACCCAUUAAGAACUGCAUCGGAAACAUCACAACCCACGACUGCUAAAAGACCUCGAAUCGAUGCUGCACAGCACAAACACAACAAAACACGAUCCCUCAUCGCUUGUGCAUUGGAAACUCUUCAUGAUGCCAGUUAUGAUUUAUUAUCUAACUCGGUUUCUGCACUACUUAAAGGGAGUUGUAAACUUCCUGGUCUGACAGAUGAGGAAAAAUCGGUCACAUCUGCGUUUUGUCUAAACAAGACUUUCCUGAAGCCUCUAAAUUAAUAAUGGUCAUGGUGACAGCAUGGCCAUGUGUUUUUACUUAUGACGGCCCUUUAUGCAGAGCCAUACACAUCGUGACCAAAAUGAAAGCGGACGGAGACAUUUUAUGCUUGCUCAGGAAAUAUCUGCACUGGGAUAGGGAUCCUCCAGGAAACAUCUGCAGCACCAUCACCAACACACUGAAGGCUCUUCUGGAAGACAAACGCCUGACAUUCCAGAAGAGCAGCUGCGGUGAGGAUCUCUAUUCUACCGCCUGGGACUACGUAUUCAGCCUGGAUCUUCUUUGUGCACAACUGGGCUGGAUGUGGACCGACAUCCAUGUUAUACAGUACUGAAUGCAAAACCGCUUCAUCGUGUUAGUUUUUAGUUUAAAAAAUAAUAAUCAUUUGAUAGAUUGCAGUCCUACAAAUGUUAGACUCAUAUGAGACAGUGUGUGUCUCAAUAAUCAAGUGGCUGAAAUAUUGCAAUAUUGCCAUUCUUGUUGCAUGAACUCACAACUGGUCAAUCAAUGUUGCAGUAGUUAUCAGGCUACUUGGUAAGUUUACUGUAAAUCCUGUUUUGGAUUCUUCAGUUUCUCACUUAUAGUCUUUGUCCAUCUCAAGCAGGGCGACUUGGCCAACAAGGCCUUAAGGAGAACCUGGCAGCAUCAGUGGAAAAUCUGAAAAAAAAAUCAUAAUUGAGUUUUGGACACAAAAAGUCUUGGAAGUCACUAAAACAGAGCACACUGAUUAGUCCCAUCAGCCACAGAUCUGCUUCUCACCGCUCGUUUCCCCCUGGCUCCACCCUCUAUUCACCAACCGCUGCUCGUGCACGCAGCCGCUGCUCCAUUCAGCA